rnacentral:sRNA from 1 species
GCUGGGCGCGGUGGCGCACACCUGUAAUCCCUGGGGCUUGGGAGGCUGAGGCAGGAGGAUCGCGGCCAUCAACUUGGUGAGGCUCCUAAACAACUUAGUGAGAGUCUGUCUUAA